rnacentral:rRNA from 1 species
AUGCCAAUAUUCUACAACUUUCAUAUACUUUUGGCAACUUUUUAUAGUAUUUUUGGGACUAACAUAUUGAUCCAGUGCCCAGUGCCAGUUCCUGUUUGUUGCAUGUUUUUUGUUUCGCAGAAUAUCCAUAUCAAACAGAGUCCAAACGGGAUAAAAACUGACGGAGAUUUUUUGGGGAAUAUAUAUGAUUUUUGGGAAGAAAAAUCCAUGCGAGACAGUGCCCGAGGGAGGCACGAGGCAUGGGGGUGCGGCCCACCCCCCGGCUGCGCCCCUGACCCUCGUGGCCACCUUGUAAGGCGGUUGAUGCCCUUCUUUCGCCACAAGAAAGCUAAUAUCCGGAUAGAGAUCGUGUUAAAACUUUCAGCCCAAUCGGAGUUACGGAGCUCUGGGAAUAUAAGAAACGGUGAAAGGGAAGAAUCUGGGAACGCAGAAACAGAGAGAGACAGAGAGACAGAUCCAAUCUCGGAGGGGCUCUCGCCCCUCCCACGCCAUGAAGGCCAAGGACUAGAGGGGAAACCCUUCUCCCAUCUAGGGAGGAGGUCAAGGAAGAAGAAGACGAAGGGUCCCCUCUUCCCUUCUCUUCCGGUGGCGCCGGAACGCUGCCGUGGCCAUCAUCAUCACCGCAAUCUUCACCAACAACUUCACCGCCAUCAUCACCAACUCUUCCCCCCUCUAUGCAGCGGAGUAACCUCUCUCUUACCUGCUGUAAUCUCUACUUAA